GUGGAAAUCCCAUGUCAUUGUAUCAGCAACAACAUAGGAACAAAAGACAAGGCUCCUAAAUCAACAUUUACAAAUUCUCAGAUUUGGUCAACACAAGUGAAGAGAACUGGCUAUAACAUGCAAAUAAAGCUGGCUAUCCAAACAUCAAACUAUUAUCACAAUGAUAAAAACUGAAUGCUGGUUCUUGAAUUUCUUGGCACUUAAGAAUAAUUCCUAAAGCAGUUUGAAUUUCCCCCCGUCACGCCACAAUUACCGCGCCAUUGUUGGUUUCACUAUGCAUCGUUGACUCCAUUAGCUUUAGCAGUGCUGUUGUGCUUCUGAGCUUCUUCUCCAUCCUCUGGGAUGUUAGAAGUCCAUAAGGUGAGAUUGUCCCUCAAAAGCUGCAUGAUCAAUGUGCUAUCUUUGUAAGAUUCCUCACUCAAAGCAUCCAGCUCAGAGAUAGCUU
rnacentral:misc_RNA from 1 species